rnacentral:lncRNA from 1 species
AUUUUAAAACAUCAGAGUUAGAACGCAGCGAUGACGGAGGAUUAUGGGCAGGCCUGGUCGAUUUUUUUGAUUGGGCGAUAGCAUAGCGCCGGACCAUGGGCGACGGCGACGGUAGAAGCUUCGUGCUCGAUAAAAUACUUGGGCAUACGGGUAAAUCUUAAUAUUGAUGUUCUUGUAUUUAAAAAAAAUGAUACAUGACAUUACUAGUCUGUAGAAUUACUGGAUUAUGAAUACAUUGGGUAUUAACAAAAAAAUGAUGAUGAUUAUGGGGAUUGAGGGUUUCUUCUGUGUGAUUGUAUUAAUUGGUCAUUCUUUGUAAAUGUAUUCUGAGUUGUGAGUGUUCUUGGAUCUUCUUAUUGCAACAGAGGUGUAAGUCAUUGUUUCAUUGAAUAAGCUAAUUUGCCAAUUUUGGUUUGUUUUGGUUUAUUGUACUUCGAAUGAUUAUAAUUGCUUGAAUUUUGUAGUUGUAAUUAAAGAAUGAUGUUGGUAGAACGACGAGAAUGAGUCUGUUGUUGCCUGUUGGUGUUAACUCAAUUUGAAUAUUAUAAGUUUUUUUACAUGGUGUCAACCCAAUUCGGAAAAGUAAUUACUUUAUUCAGAUUUAAUGUUAAGCUUCUUGAAAAUGUAGCAUACUAAAUACUAACUAUGCAGUACAUGUAGGUGGUGGAAACUCUCCUGUUGUAGUUGUUCCACUGUUUGCUUUAGGAAUGCAAAGUGGCACGAUUGAUGUGGCCUAUCUUAUGUUUCCCGUGGAGAUAAGUUUAUGCUAUAUGGUAGUAUAUACAUAUGUGGACGGAAUAAUAUUGAUGCAAGAUGCAUUUCUUGUUUGUUAGAUUUCGUUGUCAAAUGCCAAUAGCGCCAAGAACUCAUCACAAACUCUACAUAGCUCAUGCAUAAUCGUGGAAGGCAAGAGUAUUUUUUUUCUUUCUAUUGUGAUAGAUUACACAUCAGUAAGUAGAGGGAAUAAUUAUAAAUUAUUUUUCCAUAUUCACGAAAUCUGCACAUUGGAAUUUACUGAUUGUUAAAUAAAUUUCUUUGCUCACAGGGUCUCGUGUAAAUUUUGUUCGAGUUCAAAUUUGAGGCCUCAAUGCAGCAGCGGUCUAAUCGAAACCAGCUUUCUACAUCGACAAGCUCGAGCACGUAAACGAGAAGGAUAUUGAUCUUGAACAUAGUUACAAAACAAAUAGCUUUUUUAACUUGUAUCGAAUUGAAAAAUUAGGUGGCUUCCUUAAAUAUUAAGGCAAAACUCAUUCGAGUUUUCUUUCGGUCUAUGUAUUAUAUGUUUUGACUAUUGUAGAAUCGUAUGUGAAUUUGGUGUUUUAAGAAUUUUAUGUAGUAGAUUUUCUAUUGAUUAUCAAGAAUUUUGAAGUUGAAU